CAGCACGACUAGAAGGCGCGAGGCCAUGCGGAGUCCACGGCCACGGCCCAAGUCGAGCGCCAUGCGGGACGAGGUGUCCGAUCCGUCGCCAAACUUCCUUUCCGUGCCGUGUGCGUAUACUGCGUACUGUAGAUGCAUGAUGCAUCAUCCGCCAGAGAAGGUAAAGAGAACUUAGAGCAACCUCAAUAUAUAUGGACCAAAUAGUCUAUAUACAUAGAGUCUACAUAAGUAGUCCAUAGUUAUUAUUAUUUACUCACAAUGUUCAGCCAACAAAUAGUCUAUAAAAUGGGGUCCACUAGAGAUUAAAAAUUAUUCUUUCCAACCAUCUCAUGUAUCAUGACACAAGAGAGAGAGCAUGGAAAGAAAAAAUAACAUUUUUUUAUUGCUUAUGGGUAGUCCAUAGGGCUAUGGGUACCUUUUGUUAUAGACUGCUAUAUGGACUACCUCCACAAUGUUUUAGCCAGCUGAUAGAGAGUAUUUUAUUUUCUAUCGACUACUUUGCUGCUACAUUGUGGUUGCUUUGUUUAGUUGACCCUAAAAACUAAAAAACUUUUCAAAAUUUUUCAUCACAUCGAAUCUUGCGGC
rnacentral:lncRNA from 1 species